AGACCCGAAACCCGGUGAUCUAGCCAUGGGCAGGUUGAAGGUUGGGUAACACUAACUGGAGGACCGAACCGACUAAUGUUGAAAAAUUAGCGGAUGACCUGUGGCUGGGGGUGAAAGGCCAAUCAAACCGGGAGAUAGCUGGUUCUCCCCGAAAGCUAUUUAGGUAGCGCCUCGUGAAUUCAUCUCCGGGGGUAGAGCACUGUUUCGGCUAGGGGGCCAUCCCGGCUUACCAACCCGAUGCAAACUGCGAAUACCGGAGAAUGUUAUCACGGGAGACACACGGCGGGUGCUAACGUCCGUCGUGAAGAGGGAAACAACCCAGACCGCCAGCUAAGGUCCCAAAGUCAUGGUUAAGUGGGAAACGAUGUGGGAAGGCCCAGACAGCCAGGAUGUUGGCUUAGAAGCAGCCAUCAUUUAAAGAAAGCGUAAUAGCUCACUGGUCGAGUCGGCCUGCGCGGAAGAUGUAACGGGGCUAAACCAUGCACCGAAGCUGCGGCAGCGACGUUUAUGCGUUGUUGGGUAGGGGAGCGUUCUGUAAGCCUGCGAAGGUGGCCUGUGAGGGUUGCUGGAGGUAUCAGAAGUGCGAAUG
rnacentral:rRNA from 1 species